rnacentral:rRNA from 1 species
CAGCCGUAAACUAUGCGCGUUAGGUGUACUGGUGACCACGAGUCACCGGGGUGCCGAAGGGAAACCGUGAAACGUGCCGCCUGGGAAGUACGGUCGCAAGGCUGAAACUUAAAGGAAUUGGCGGGGGAGCACCACAACAGGUGGAGCCUGCGGUUUAAUUGGACUCAACGCCGGGAAGCUCACCGGAUAGGACAGCAGAAUGAUUGCCGGGCUGAAGACUCUGCAUGACUAGCUGAGAGGUGGUGCAUGGCGUCAGUGACU